UGGUUCUUUGGAUAGUAUAUAUGAACAAGGGAUACUCAGAAGAAAAGUAAAGCACCCUCUCUUUCUUGACACAAGUGCAGCAUUUAGAGAGAAUUCAACCAUAUCACCCAAGGGCAGAAAGACUAAAAACAGCAGAAUUAAAUGGAGCUGUGUCUUUGCCUCUGGCAUAAGUCUCCAUCAGUCCUGCUGGUAUGAAUACCCAUGAUCAGAACCCCAGAAUCUUCUGUUCUGAUGUUUCUCUUAUAUUCUGACAAAUAGGAAAGCACAACUCUUAGCCAGAUGGGAAGGUACCAUUUCACAGACACAACCAAAGGGCAAGAUCGUCCCUGGUAUUAUAAAAAUGUUGCCCACUAUAAAGCUGACUCCGCAUUAAAAAGCAGCAACCAUAUGUUUCAGGGCCUUUUUGAACCACUUGGUUAGCCAAUACCUUCUCCCAUUCAGAAACUCUUUUGUGGGUUAAAGUACUUAAUUAAAUAGAAAUGCUCCUGACUUUGACACUGAAAAUUGCUUUCAAGAACAAGACUUUCUAAGAUCAUAUGGUUUUCCUGACUCUUUCAAGUAUUUGGACUUGGUAUAGUCAGAAGCCUUUAUAUCCUAAGCAGUAAUAUAUUGAGUCUUUCUGACAUCUCAAACAGAUAAAAGAAUUCUUCAGAACCAGGUUUCUUCCCAAGUGCCCAAAGUCCUUUGGCUUACACCUCACACAAAAUCCUGGAAGUGCACUCCAGUAUCAGUUCCUAUUGCUCUCUGUCUGUCGAGUUUAUUGUAGUUGACAACAUUCCCAGGAUUGGAGAGGCAGAGCUGCAUGGGGCCUUCUUGUACUUCCAUUCUUUAGCCGGCUGUUAGGAUUUGAUUGUCCACUCGUUCAUUGAAGGAGACAGGAAAAUAAAAUUUCUCACAUAUGGAGCUGAGAGUCUGCGCCCACUUUAGGCCUUCUGUCAAAGCCUAACAGUUCUUGCAUUCAAUAAAGAGGAAAUGUAGUUUGCCUGCUGGCUUGCUGGCUAAUCAGGAUGUUGCCUGGAGGCACUUUUCACAAGAACUAGAGCAAAAUAGCAGCAAAGCAAUGUAUAGGCAGACCAGUACCGGCUGACUUAGCUUUCUCGACAAUCCUGCAGCAUUUUCUUUUCUUCUUUUCUUUUCUUUUCUUUUUUUUGGGGGGAGGGGGGUGGUAGAGGAACUGUGGGUGGAAGUUUUUUUUUUUUCUUCCAAGUACUUCUCUUGAAAAUGAUUCUGGAUUUAAUUUAAAACUGGAUUUAAUUUUAAAAGGAGAAAGUUUAUGGAUGAACCAUUUGCUAAGUGAGUCUUGUUAUUGCCGAGCAGUUCCUAGGAAUCUAAAGGAAAGGUUACUCAGUCAUACAGUCUAUCCCCCAGCGUCAAUCUUGUGCCUAGCUCCACAUCACUAUAAGCAGUGCGCUGGUGACUAUUCACAUUCAUGUUUUGUAUUGAUAAUGCAAAUGAGCCCAAGAAUUACUGGUCAGGGAAUUUAUUAGGAGAGGCAGCUUUCCCCCGUUUUGCUUUUCUUUGCCUCUCCAGCCCUGUUCACAAGCUGCUGAAGAGCUUGGGGUGCCUGAGAGAGAAUUAAGACCUGGGGCCUCUACCCACAGCCCCCACCCUUUUCCAGCAAUAGAAAGCAUUACGCCAUAAAGUUGUCAAGGUAACUCGCCAGAAUGGCUCACUGUUGUCCUUUGGGUCUGUCUGCAGGCUGAAGAAACAGCUAGAGGGUUAGCCACCUUGGGGAGCACAUAACGUAGUGCCGGCAGGCAUAAUGAGGAGCUCUGGGGGAAGGAGCAGGCGGCCUUGGCAACCUCUCCCAGAGAGAUGACAUUCAUAACGCUGGGUAGUGUUGCUGGGCCAGAUUCUGGGGAGAGGCAGGGAGAUGAAACAAGGCUGAUUCUUCCCCUUUGUGAUGCGAAUGAAUUUUCCCUGGCUCCGGCAACCUUCGAGAGUUCCGGAAGAGAGAAUUUCGCGGACCCGCUGUCACUCCCCGGGCUCUGAAAAAAGAUCAUUCAGCUCACAGGCGGAAAGCUCUUGGCUCCAGCUGCCUUGGCCAUACUGGAAUGUCGCCCACUAUUAACUUAGCAUAAAGACAAGCAUGCUCUAAGACUCUCCUGAGGUUUGCAGUCUAGACUUAGAUACAAACACCGCACCAAAACACCACCCAAUUUUCUUUUUCUUUUUUUUGGUUUGGUGCAAUGGCAGGGAGAGGUGGAAGAGAGAAAAAUAAAUAUUGGCUACUUGAAAUAAUUUAAAACAUCACCCAGAAAAAGGGGGAAAAAAACUAAAUGAGAGAAGAAACCCUGUGGCAAAAUAAAGUUAAAGACAAGCCCAGGAUCCAGAGGAAAGUUCAAAUUUAGCAGAGCUCAUAAAUGCAAGAGCAAAUGGGGAUGUGAUCAUCUCUCCCAAGUCACUGAGACAAUAAAGAAGAGUUUAUAAUUA